UACAGAGGGGGCAAGCGUUGUUCGGAAUUACUGGGCGUAAAGGGCGCGUAGGCGGCCUGUUAAGUCGAACGUGAAAUCCCCGGGCUCAACCCGGGAACUGCGUCCGAUACUGGCAGGCUUGAAUCCGGGAGAGGGAUGCGGAAUUCCAGGUGUAGCAGUGAAAUGCGUAGAUAUCUGGAGGAACACCGGUGGCGAAGGCGGCAUCCUGGACCGGCAUUGACGCUGAGGCGCGAAAGCCAGGGGAGCAAACGGG
rnacentral:rRNA from 1 species